rnacentral:rRNA from 1 species
CACGUAGGGGCCAAGCGUUGUCCGGAUUUAUUGGGCGUAAAGAGCGUGUAGGCGGUCAGGUAGGUCCGUUGUGAAAACUCGAGGCUCAACCUCGAGACGCCGAUGGAAACCAUCUGACUAGAGUCCGGAAGAGGAGAGUGGAAUCCUGGUGUAGCGGUGAAAUGCGUAGAUAUCAGGAGGAACACCUGUGGCGAAAGCGGCUCACUGGACCAUAACUGACGCUGAUGCACGAAAGUCUAGGGGAGCAAACAG